UACGAAGGGGGCUAGCGUUGCUCGGAAUUAUUAGGCGUAAAGCGCGUGUAGGCGGCUUUGCAAGUCGGGUGUGAAACCUCCAGGCUCAACCUGGAGACGCCACUCGAUACUGGCGUGACUAGAGUUCGGUAGGGGACCACGGAAUUCCUGGUGUAGCGGUGAAAUGCGCAGAUAUCAGGAGGAACACCGGUGGCGAAGGCGGUGGUCUGGGCCGACACUGACGCUGUAGAGCGAAAGCGUGGGGAGCGAACAGG
rnacentral:rRNA from 1 species